GGGAGGAGGCAGCUCAGGACACAGAUUUGCAUGGCGGCCUCUCCCCUGAGCAGGGAUAAGAGAGGGCUGGGCGGCUGGUCUCAGGGGCAGCACUCUGGGGGUCUCCACCAUGGCCUGGACUCUGGUCCUCCUCACCCCUCUCACUCGGGGCACAGGGUCCUGGGCCCAGUCUGCCCUGACUCAGCCUCCCUCCAUCUCGGGGGCUCCUGGACAGUCAGUCACCAUCUCCUGCACUGGGACCAGCAAUGAUGUUGGGGGAUAUAACUAUGUCUCCUGGUACCAGCAGCGCCCGGGCACACUCAUGAAACUCCUGAUUUAUAGUGUCAGCUCUCGGCCCUCUGGGAUCCCUGAUCGCUUCUCUGGCUCCAAGUCUGGCAACACGGCCUCCCUGACCAUCUCUGGGCUGCUCGCUGAGGAUGAGGCUGAUUAUUACUGCAGUUCAUACAGGAGUGCUAACACAACACAAUGGGGCGAAUUCAUGGGGAAGUGAGACCAAAACCUGCUG